rnacentral:rRNA from 1 species
GAUGAACGCUAGCGGCAGGCUUAACACAUGCAAGUCGAGGGGCAGCACGAUGUAGCAAUACAUGGGUGGCGACCGGCGCACGGGUGCGUAACACGUAUGGAAUCUGCCCUUUACUGGGGGAUAGCCCGGAGAAAUCCGGAUUAAUACCCCAUAACAGGCGAGGUGGCAUCACCUUGCUUUGAAAGCUCCGGCGGUAUAGGAUGACCAUGCGCACGAUUAGCUAGUUGGUGAGGUAACGGCUCACCAAGGCUACGAUCGUUAGGGGGCCUGAGAGGGUUAUCCCCCACACUGGUACUGAGACACGGACCAGACUCCUACGGGAGGCAGCAGUGAGGAAUAUUGCGCAAUGGAGGCAACUCUGACGCAGCCAUGCCGCGUGCAGGAAGAAGGCGCUACGCGUUGUAAACUGCUUUUAUCCGGGAAGAAACCCCUCGACGUGUCGAGGGUUGACGGUACCGGAGGAAUAAGCACCGGCUAACUUCGUGCCAGCAGCCGCCGUAACAC